AAUGUAGGUAGACAAGAUACAAAGUUGGUUUUCCACCAUUACUUCGGUUGUACUUUUAAUUGUAUCAUUAUUUUCUUAUGACUUUGAGAAUUGCAUUAAGGGAACUAAAUCUCUUUUUGGUCAACUUAUGGAGUUAUUUAAGGGAGAAAAUCUUCCCUAUAAGAUAAAUUUAAUAUUUGUAGAAAACAAUAAGAAUAUAAAUAGACAUGUGGCUAAUUCUCAUUGGGUCUGAUUGGUAAAUGUUUUUUUUCUGAUUGGUAAAUGUUAAGUGUAAUACAUUAAAACCUCUAUAAAUUAAUAAUGUUGGGACUUUAAAAUUUUAUUAAUUUAUGAAGAUAUUAAUUUAUAAAAUUUUCCUUUUUUUGACAGCAUAAAAUUUUCCUUAUUUAGAUAUUUUUUUAUUUUAAGAUAUGUUUAUUCUAAGAUAAGAAAAAUAUUUGAUUUUAGUGUGUAGAAAUUAAUUGUUAUUUUUUUUGGAAUUUGACAUUUAUAUUAAUUUUAUUAUAUUAUUUGGGGUAUAUAAUAUAUAUUGCAUAGAACUUAAAUGUGGUUUUAGAUAUAAUAUUACUAAAUCUUAUCAAAAAUAUUUUAAGUAUUAAGAGAAUAUAAAGAUACUUCGAUUGUGAAUAUAAAAACAAAUAAUAUAAUAAUUGGUUUUUGCUAUAUAAAAUAUGUAUACAUAUAAUUAUUAAUUUAUAAUUUUAAUGGGACCAUAUAUUUACAUAGAAUUUUUAUAAAAAUAUUAUCUUAUUAUUUUAUCAAUUUGUGUCAAAUUUUGAACCGGUCUAAGUUGGAACUGGUAAAAUUUAUUAAUUUAUAAAAAAUAUUAAUUUAUAGAGUAUUAAUUUAUAGAUGUUAUACUGUAUUAGUAGACUAACGUGUUGUAACUUGUAACAGAGAGGAAAUAAAAAUUAAAAGUUAGAAAAAAAAAUUAUAUCUAUAUUUUUAUUUUUUUGAGCUUUUUUAUAUGAAGAAGAGAAAAUAUCUAAACAUACAGAGGAUAUAAGACAUUUAUACGUCACAACCACUAAACACAAAUGAAUUAAAAAAAAUAUCGGAUCACUAGAUACUUAAUCCAAAAAAAAAAAACAGAUUUCCCGUAGCGACAUACAAGUGACCAAAAUAUGUCCUAAUUGCACUUGAAGAAAUAAAAAGACACCUUUACUAAUCUCUUUAGAUUUCCAAAGGACUUUCCAUUUGUUAAGAGAGUUGAGAGCUGACAAAAGAAAGAGAAGACUACGCCUUUGGUCUUUCCAAAAAGCCACACAUAACAGAAUUUUUCAUACUGACAAUCACUUUUUCCAAGUGUUGAGAAACAGCACUCUCAAUCACUCACUUGAAACAGAUGACCCUAGCUUCGUUCAACUUGGAAACAAAGGCAAAUAAUCUCAUGCUAUGAAGAAUAACCUCUCUAUGGUGAUCCUGAAUAACCUAAGCACCUCCCAAUAUAUGAUUCUUCUGAUAAGAUCAUAACAAGAGUCAUGACAUCGUGUGUUCUCCACUUGUUUAUCAUGUUCCAUAUUUGUUUAGUUGGCAUUAUUCACUUGACAUCUUUUGUGUAUUUAAGUGAUCGAGUGUUUUAUUCAAUAGAUAUGAAAAGAAAAUUGAAGUAAAUUGUUUCUUAAGUGUUAGGGAUCCAUCAUUAGGUAUCAGAGCAAACUCUCUUAGCUUUGAGGAAGGCCUUAAUCGGCAUCCAAGCACAUUUUUGUUUUUGAUCUGGACCACUUUGUGGUAUCAAAAACUCCUAUCUCUGUUUUGAUUCGGACCACAAUUUGUGGUAUCAAAACUUCUAUUCAAAAAAAAAAAAACCGUUCUCCUUGUAGUGCACGUAUGAACAGCUUGACAACCGUUUGAGCAUGGAAGAUGUGAAGAUCAAUCCUCCUUGUAGUGCAUGAUGAGUUGCAGAAAUUGAAGCAUGUUAUGAUGAAUGAAUUCAAACGUCUGCGGCAAGUCAUGAGUCGUCCGGUGAAAAUUACCGAAACUAUCAAAAUCAAUGGUGAUAAAGACUUGGCGGUUCAAGGAUGUUCAUGCUUUGCUUCUUCACCAAGAAACAAUGAGUUAUUCAAAGAAUCCAUUGAUGUGUCCCAUGAUGAAGCUCUAAUCGCACAGUUUUGGAUCUAGACCGUUGCUCACAAAACACAUUGGCAUGUCAAUUCUGAUCUGACGCGUCCAAUCCAAAGCCAUGAACCACUGACCCCAACGCCAAAGAAGCUCAGCCAAGACGAACCAGUUUCUGGUAAACCACCACCAUUACGUGACAAGAACCUUGAGGAUAAGGUUCUUUGGAGGUUGGAGAACCAAAAAUUUAGUUUUGUCCGCCAAACACUAAAAAAUCAUUCCUGAAAAAAAAAUAAAAAAUUCUACUUCUCUCUUGUAUUUAUUUUUUUCUUUUCUUUUCUCAAAUUGAGAUCGAAGAAUAUUAGUGGAGGAGGAGGAGCGUAAGCCACGAAGGAGCUGCUGUCGGAGUUGCGUGACGGUAACACCGUCGCUCCUCACCACCUCCACCACCACCGCAUCUCAGAUCUUAAGACGGAUGGUUCAGCGGAGACAGUCGACCGGUUCCGUUUCCGGCGAGUAGUCUUCCUGGAACGUCACCGUUUGGGUGAUUAAAAAAGCCCCUCCCCUUCUCAUGGCCAUCAAUGGCUAGACUCUUUGCCCAUCUCCCUUCGUCCUCCUCUUCUUUCGAUUUCACCAAUGGUGGAGAUGCUCAUAUCAUAAGCUUAGACAAUAUGUAAAUUCUAGGGUUUGGAUUCAUUAAUCUGGAUUUUGAAUUGAAUUAUGGAUUAUUGAUUCGGCUUUUUGAUUUUGAGCUCGUGCUUAUUGAGGGUCAUGAGAUUUUAUGUUUCACCAGAGAACAACUGCUUCAGCUUAAAGAGGCAAUCCAAGUCUCUGGGGCAUCUGAUCUUUUCGGCGAAGAGCAGAGCUGGGGCCGUUCGGUGAGGAGAUGAAGAAUCAAUUGAUCUAGGAUUGUUAGAAUAGGGAUAUAUCAUUUGAUUCUUCAUUUACUGUUGUUCUUACUGAUGUAACUCGAUUGAUCACCUAGUUACGAUAACAUAAACAUAUUAUAUAAUACACUGAAAGUGUUUGUUUAAAUACCUGAAAGUACUGUAAAUGAGCAAAGUGUCAUUAACCAGGGGAAGUUGAUGUUACUGUGCUUGUGAACUUAUCAAACCUAAAUUGAAUGUGGUUUAAAUUUUAAAUUCAACGGAAGUUAGUAUUUAGGAUUCUAUAACAUAGGCUGUUAACACUACAUAAGUAAGUAGGUUAGUUAUAUCUUCAUGAUUUAUUUUCGAGACAUUUCUUAAUUAUAAUCCCUGUUAAUUUAUCUGUUUGUUAAUAUUGAAGUGUUUUCCCUGAGUAUUCCAUGCACCCAAUGACAUCCUAUUGUUUACAUCUUUGUGUUCUUUGCUUUCUUGCUUAUUUUAUUAACAAUUUUUAGAAACAGAAAAUCAGACAAACAAUUUUCUUUAUAGCUUUAGAUAGUGACUUGUCUGAAUUCUCUAUGUGUGAUCUUUGUGUACUUUAAUGUGCAUUUGCAGUUAGUUGGUCGGGUUAAAAUCUGAGUGAUUAGUAAAUAAAUUAUCAUCUUGAAAAAGCAGAUGACUAACUGAAGGACCAGAAUCCACAAAGUUAACCUCAUUCAAAGUUCAUGCAUCCUCAGCCUUAUUGAAAAGAUGAUAAAGGCCUUCAAUGCACAAAACAAAUAACUCAGGGGACAACAAAUAUCGUUCCUUUAACCACCCUCUUCCGAGCCCUAUUAAUCCACGAGGAUUAUUGUUUAUAAGAACUGAAAACGUCACUAUAACAAAACAUUACCCCUUCUACACAAGUUUAAUGGAACUCUAAAGCAGUGAGAACUCUUUAAAUACUUUCAUUCAAAUCUAUCAUAUGCCUUGGACGUAACAGCUUUCACAGCCACUAAUUGAGAAGCAACGUAACAUUAUCUAAGGUAUACAAACUAUGAAAAACUUCAUGGACAAUCAGGAUGUUAUCAGAUAUUUGUCGUUAAUGAAGGCUGAUUGACAAGGAGAUAUAAUGGUUGGAAGUAAAGGUUGUAGCCUCAUGAUCAGUAGCUUAGAUAUAAUCUUAUGAAACAUCGAGCAUAAACAAAUUGGUCUAAGAUCCUUCCCUCUGGAAGCUGUCAUCACUUUUGGCACAAGGAAAAUAUGAGUAUGAUUCCAUUCCAUUGAAAAACACCAAAAUAAAGAAUAAUUUCACCUCAGCAGAAACUUGAGGACCAUAAUAUGUCCAAAAUAUAUGAAAGAUCAAACUAGCCAUUCCAAUUUCCAACUGGUCCCAAAAAACCUGAUGCUCGGACGGAAAAUACCACUUUAUCUAUUUCAUCAUCAUUAACAUGUUUAUUCAAUUCUUCAUUCAUCUCAUAUGUUAUUUUAGGACAUAAACCUUCAAACAAGUCUUCAAAAUCCCUUGGAUCUUCAAACUUAAACAUAUCAUUGAAAUAAGUCGAGGCAAUCUCUCCUUUUGAUCUAUCUUCCUAUGCUCAACGCCAUUUGAAUCCUGAAGAACACCCAAGCAAUUAUAACUUCUAGUAUUUUGGACUGAAGCAUGAAUUUUUUUCGAUUUUCUUUCUCUGAUCUUUAACCAUUUUUAUUGCUUCUCUGGCUCCAAAAGAAUUAUCUUUGUAAGCUUUCAUCAAUUCUUAUUGUAAACAAAGAAUUUUACACCUUCAUGGCAUAUCAACAAAUUAUUUCUUAUCCAAAGCUUCUUGAAGCUUUGCGUUGAGAUUAAAAGAUAUUUUCCAUCAACUUAAAGCCUCUCAGCAUCUUCUGAUUCUCUAAGCCACACUGCAAGCCGUACCUCUUCCUCGUGCAUUCCAAGCUUUUACAACAGUUUCCUUACCAUUAGUAAAAUUAAGUAAAUGCUUAUCAAAUCUGAAGUAUCCUCUGUAUGAGUGAUUGGAGUUAACCAAAGAUAAGAAUCGGUUUCUGAGACUGUCCUAUCUAAGAAAAUUUGAUUUGGAGCUGGAGAUCUUCUCAUCCACUCUUUGUUGUUGAAACCUCUAUCGACUUUGUUCUGGAUCUAUUACUUGCCUCUCAUACCUCUCCUAGUGAAAGGAUUUACAGAAUUUGAGAGCUUACUCAUUUUACAAAUCCAUAACAUCUCUUUAAAAUCCUCAAACGA